GUGCUCACUUUGGCAGCACAUAUACUAAAAUUGGACCUAUACAGAGAAGACUAGCAUGGCUCCUGCACAAGAAAAAAAAAAAUAAUAAAAAGAGUGGAGAUGAAGUGCUUU